rnacentral:rRNA from 1 species
UACGAAGGGGGCUAGCGUUGCUCGGAAUCACUGGGCGUAAAGGGUGCGUAGGCGGGUCUUUAAGUCAGGGGUGAAAUCCUGGAGCUCAACUCCAGAACUGCCUUUGAUACUGAGGAUCUUGAGUUUGGGAGAGGUGAGUGGAACUGCGAGUGUAGAGGUGAAAUUCGUAGAUAUUCGCAAGAACACCAGUGGCGAAGGCGGCUCACUGGCCCGAUACUGACGCUGAGGCACGAAAGCGUGGGGAGCAAACAGG